UACGGAGGGUGCGAGCGUUAUUCGGAAUUACUGGGCGUAAAGCGCGUGUAGGCGGUUUUUUAAGUCUGAUGUGAAAGCCCUGGGCUCAACCCGGGAAGUGCAUUGGAAACUGGGAGACUUGAAUACGGGAGAGGGCAGUGGAAUUCCUGGUGUAGGAGUGAAAUCCGUAGAUAUCAGGAGGAACACCGGUGGCGAAGGCGGCUGCCUGGACCGAUAUUGACGCUGAGACGCGAAAGCGUGGGGAGCAAACAGG
rnacentral:rRNA from 1 species